rnacentral:rRNA from 1 species
GACGAACGCUGGCGGCGUGCCUAAUACAUGCAAGUAGAACGCACAGUUUAUACCGUAGCUUGCUACACCAUAAACUGUGAGUUGCGAACGGGUGAGUAACGCGUAGGUAACCUGCCUGGUAGCGGGGGAUAACUAUUGGAAACGAUAGCUAAUACCGCAUAAUAUUAAUUAUUGCAUGAUAAUUGAUUGAAAGAUGCAAUUGCAUCACUACCAGAUGGACCUGCGUUGUAUUAGCUAGUAGGUGAGGUAACGGCUCACCUAGGCGACGAUACAUAGCCGACCUGAGAGGGUGAUCGGCCACACUGGGACUGAGACACGGCCCAGACUCCUACGGGAGGCAGCAGUAGGGAAUCUUCGGCAAUGGACGAAAGUCUGACCGAGCAACGCCGCGUGAGUGAAGAAGGUUUUCGGAUCGUAAAGCUCGGUUGUAAGAGAAGAACGGGUGUGAGAGUGGAAAGUUCACACUGUGACGGUAUCUUAACAGAAAGGGACGGCUAACUACGUG